AAAAUUUAGUUAAUAUAUAACAUUAACUUGUCAAGUUAAAAUAAUUAAAAUUUAAUAAUUUUU
rnacentral:tRNA from 1 species